AAAAAGACAAACCCUAGAUUCCCGUGUCCAACUUUAACUGUCCGUCUUAUAUGAAUUUUGUUUAUAAUUCGUAUUUUCAUUGUUGUUAGAUGAUAAAACAUGAUUAAUAUUUUAUGCGUGACUUGUCUUUUUAAUUUUUUUAUAAUUUUUUCAAAUAAGACGGACGGUCAAACAUUGGGCACGGAAACCAGUAUUUGCUUUUUUU
rfam:Oryza barthii chromosome 6, whole genome shotgun sequence.